rnacentral:rRNA from 1 species
AUUGAACGCUAGCGGCAGGCCUUACACAUGCAAGUCGAACGAGUGGCGGACGGGUGAGUAAUAUAUGGGAACGUGCCCAGUAGCGGGGGAUAACUACUCGAAAGGGUGGCUAAUACCGCAUACUAUCAGAGGUGCCGAGAUCGGAUUAGCUAGUUGGUGGGGUAAAGGCUCACCAAGGCGACGAUCCCUAGCUGGUUUGAGAGGAUGACCAGCCACACUGGGACUGAGACACGGCCCAGACUCCUACGGGAGGCAGCAGUGGGGAAUAUUGGACAAUGGGGGAAACCCUGAUCCAGCCAUCCCGCGUGUAUGAGAAGGCCUUCGGGUUGUAAAGUACUUUCAGCAGGGAAGCGUUAUCUGCAGAAUAAGCACCGGCUAACUCCGUGCCAGCAGCCGCGGUAAUAC